GCCAUAAAAUAGUUUAAAACAAUAUAGAUUUUUGCAUACUCAAUUAGGUGUGUGUUGGAAGCAAAAGGCUUUAGUUCUCAGCAUAUUUGCAAGGAAAUAAAUGUUAGGACAAGAAUUAAGGUAUGUCUUUUUACUUAGUAGGAACAGUAAAUAGUUGCAGACAGUGUACAAAGUCAUGGUUUGCUUCACUAGUUUAUUGAAUAAUAUCAUGAUUGGCUAUGUUCAUGUAAUACACUAAGCUACAAACCAUGCUUGACAAACUUGUGGCUGAGUUCACAUAAUGCAUUAAAUUAAAAUUACAGUAAGCAAGCCACAUUUUGGGCCUUUCCUCACUGCUAAGCUGAACUGCUAAUCAUUCAUCCUUGGCAGAAAACAAUACCUGCGUUAAAUUUACUAUCCUCUUUACCAACUUUAUCCGGCUUCUCUUGCAGCUCCAGCAGUCAGAAAAAGGAGACAAGGCUCAUUUAAUACCUUUAAUACCAGUGCAGCUAAGGAUGACCUAAGCCUGUCUCACUCAUGCCCUGGAGGUUUCAGAGAGUCUGCUGUAACUUCUGUAGGAGAUAUGUUCACCACACCCACUUGUUUGCAGAUGUACCAGACAGUAAAAGAUAGACAUGUGACUGAAGCAAAAAAUGUCAUUUUCUUUGUGAAUUGGUCAUUAACACAACACUGAUCUUUGCCCCUUUCAUUUGCUUCAGAAAUUCUUAUUUUUUUAAAAAUAAUAAAUUUAUUACAUUUUUAAGCAAGAAGGAUAAAAAACUAACAAACUAAUAAAAAUCAACCCAGAAAUCCUUACUUUUUUUGAGUUAUAGAGAAUUUUUUGAAAGGUUAAACCAGCCUUUUCCAACAUGAGGUUUAUAUUCCACUUGUCAUUCAGGAGCUCAAGGUGGCAAUGUAUAGUGCUCCUUCCUAUUUUCUCCUACAACAACAACCCUGUGAGGGAGGUUGGGCUGGGAGCUAGUGACUGGCCCAAUAUCAUCUAGGAGCUUCCACUGCUGAGGAUGGACUAAACCUGAGUCACCCUGUUCCUGCUCCAGUGUGUUAACCACUACCCCACAUCAUCCUUAGCCAGUUUAUUAAGUUGGGGAAAUUUGAUUUAAGAUAAGGAAUUGCAAAGUCAAAGCACAACAUUCAGAGGAAUAUUAUUGCUUCAUUGUACUUGUAAAUAAAAAGGAAGUUCAGAUGUUUAA